AAGAUUUCUUCUAUCAAAUUCUCUUAUGUUCCAGUUUUACUAGGAUUUUGCUACUAAAACUGUGUUUGUGCCCUAGGAAACUCCUGCAUCACCUGGGAGCUUGUUAUAAAUGCUGAGUGACUCUACAUUUUAACAAGAUCAACAAAUGAUUCCUAUGCAUGGUCAAGUUUGAGAAGAAGUGUUUUUGAAUGCUUCCUUCUCCUUUCUCAAUGCUCAUGAACCUGAAUAUACUGUCACUGGGGCCAAAGCAUUUCCUCCAGCAGGGCAACUUUGACCUAGAGCACAAGAGUAAAUCUUGGAGAAUUCAUGGACAAAUGGUACAUUACAAUUUAGAUCAUAAAUUUCUCAGCAUGCCAUGUAGAUUAGCUUAUUAUCCUAUGCAAAAAGUGAUUAACAUAUAUUUCUUUGGUCUAUGAGUAAAAAGUAACUAGAAUAAUAUAUUAAGAGCAAACCUGUUUGGAUGGUGGAACUCUGGAUAAUUUAUUUUUCCAAUUUUGUCAUUCUUUUUCAGAAUUUUCUUUUAUGAACAAACUAAAGUGGAAAAAAAUUGUUUGAAGAUGGUAUGAAGCAUUUUUUUUUUUUUUUUAGUUCUAGCAAUCAGAUAGCUGAAUAGAAGCAAAUCUCUAAGUGGCCUGGAAGAGAACGGCAAUGGCAUGGAUCAUUAUGAUUCCACCCAAGACAAACUUCUGCACUUGCCAAAAUAAACUGCUUAUUCACCAAAGAUGGGCAGUGCUUAUUUUGGAACAUUACUCUUAACUGCUGACUUUUGCAAUUUAAAAAUUUUAAUAUUAUUUCCUAAGUUUGUUUUAAAUGUAUUUUCAUUUUGAAACUUG
rnacentral:lncRNA from 1 species